rnacentral:rRNA from 1 species
GCUCAGAUUGAACGCUGCGGGCAUGCCUUACACAUGCAAGUCGAACGGUAACGCGGGGCAACCUGGCGACGAGUGGCGAACGGGUGAGUAAUGCAUCGGAACGUGCCCAGUAGUGGGGGAUAGCCCGGCGAAAGCCGGAUUAAUACCGCAUACGACCUACGGGUGAAAGCGGGGGACCGUAAGGCCUCGCGCUAUUGGAGCGGCCGAUGUCAGAUUAGGUAGUUGGUGGGGUAAAGGCCUACCAAGCCUACGAUCUGUAGCUGGUCUGAGAGGACGACCAGCCACACUGGGACUGAGACACGGCCCAGACUCCUACGGGAGGCAGCAGUGGGGAAUUUUGGACAAUGGGCGCAAGCCUGAUCCAGCCAUGCCGCGUGCGGGAAGAAGGCCUUCGGGUUGUAAACCGCUUUUGUCAGGGAGGAAACGCUCUGGGCUAAUACCCCGGGGUAAUGACGGUACCUGAAGAAUAAGCACCGGCUAACUACGUGCCAGCAGCCGCGGUAAUACGUAGGGCGCAAGCGUUAAUCGGAAUUACUGGGCGUAAAGCGUGCGCAGGCGGUCUUGCAAGACAGAUGUGAAAUCCCCGGGCUUAACCUGGGAACUGCAUUUGUGACUGCAAGGCUAGAGUGCGGCAGAGGGGGAUGGAAUUCCGCGUGUAGCAGUGAAAUGCGUAGAUAUGCGGAGGAACACCGAUGGCGAAGGCAAUCCCCUGGGCCUGCACUGACGCUCAUGCACGAAAGCGUGGGGAGCAAACAGGAUUAGAUACCCUGGUAGUCCACGCCCUAAACGAUGUCAACUGGUUGUUGGGAAGGUUCCUUCUCAGUAACGUAGCUAACGCGUGAAGUUGACCGCCUGGGGAGUACGGCCGCAAGGUUGAAACUC